GAAAUUAUCAAAACCGAGCAUCAGAACCGAGCGGUCGGAAGUUCGAGCCGAGCGCAGCGAGACAACGUUGCUUUAGCAACGGCCCGCAGGGCGAGGCGUAAGCCGAGUCAUCUUCCUGGGUGCACCA
rnacentral:sRNA from 1 species